UAAUAAUAAUAGUUAUUACACAGCAGUUCACCACAGAUGUAAGAAAGGUUACAAUACGAGUAUGAGCAGCAAACAUCAAUUGAAGAUCUGAAACCCCAUCCCAUUCCCACCGAUCCCAAUUCUCAAUUCAGCAAGCUCACUCUCCAGCAUAACCAUGACUCUCAAUCUUCGCCAGAAACAAACAGAAUGCAUCGCACGAAUGCUGAACCUAAACCAACCGAUAAACGCCACCGGAACGGCGAACGAAGAAGCAUACAAGAUUCUGAUCUACGACAGAUUCUGCCAAAACAUUCUCUCUCCGUUAAUUCACGUCAAAGAUCUACGAAAACACGGCGUUACUCUCUAUUUCCUCAUCGAUAAAGAUCGCAAACCCGUUCACGACGUUCCCGCCGUUUACUUCGUUCAACCGAUUCAAUCCAAUGUUCAGAGAAUCAUCGCCGAUGCUUCUCGAUCUCUCUACCAGACUUUUCAUCUCAAUUUCUCGACCUCGAUUCCUCGUCCUCUUCUCGAAGAUCUCGCUUCGGGAACCCUAAGUUCUGAUUCGAUUCAGCGAAUUUCUAAGGUUCAUGAUCAGUAUCUUGAGUUUGUUACUCUGGAGGAUAACCUGUUUUCGUUGGCGCAGAAAUCUUGUUUCCUUCAGCUUAAUGAUCCUUCUGCUGGUGACCGUGAAAUUGAGGAUAUUGUUGAGAAGGUUGUUUCUGGUUUGUUUUGUGUUUUGGCGACUCUUGGUGUUGUGCCGGUUAUUCGGUGUCCUCGUGGUGGUGCGGCUGAGAUGGUUGCGACUGCGUUGGAUCAGCGGAUCCGUGAUCAUUUGUUGGCGAAGAAUAAUUUGUUUACUGAGGGAGGGAAUUUUGUUAGCUCUUUUCAGCGUCCUGUUUUGUGUAUCUUUGACAGGAAUUUUGAGCUUCCGGUGGCGAUUCAGCAUGAUUUUCGGUAUCGGCCGUUGGUUCAUGAUGUUUUGGGGUUGAAGUUGAAUAGGUUGAGUGUUCAAGGUGAGAAAGGUGGGAUGCGGUCUUAUGAAUUGGAUAGUGCUGAUCCGUUUUGGGUUGCCAAUGGGGGGCUCGAAUUCCCUGAGGUUGCAGUGGAGAUUGAGACUCAGCUGAAUAAGUAUAAGAAUGAUGUCGAUGAGGUGAAUAAAAGGACCGGAGGAAAUCACGGUGCUGAGUUUGAUGGGACGGAUUUGAUUGGUAACACGAAGCAUUUGAUGAGUGCUGUGAACUCUUUGCCCGAGCUUACUGAGAGGAAGCAGGUGAUUGAUAAGCAUACUAACAUUGCUACUGUGUUGUUGGGUGAGAUCAAAGAGAGGUCUCUUGAUUCUUAUGCUAAGAAGGAGAAUGACAUGAUGGUUAGAGGGGGCAUUGAGCGGAGUGAACUUCUCACUGUGCUCAGAGGGAAGGGAACCAAGAUGGAUAAGCUUCGAUUUGCAAUCAUGUAUCUUAUUUCAUCGGAAACCAUUAAUCCGACUGAAGUGGAAGCUGUGGAAACGGUGCUGAGAGAGUCUGAGGUCGAUACUGCUGCUUUUCAGUAUGUGAAAAAGAUUAAGUCUCUGAAUGUUUCAAUGGCAUCCGCAAAUUCUGCUAGUAGAAGUAAUAUUGUUGACUGGGCUGAGAAACUGUAUGGACAGUCAAUAAGUGCAGUGACUGCCGGUGUCAAAAAUCUCUUAUCUAGUGACAGGCAGCUUGCAUUGGCGAGGACUGUUGAAGCCUUGAUUGAAGGGAGACCAAAUCCUGAAACAGAUAUAUACCUGGCAUUCGAUCCUCGCGCUCCUAAGUCCGGUUCUGGAACAAGUGGAAGCCAUUUGAAAGGGCCAUUUAAGGAAGCAAUUGUGUUCAUGAUUGGUGGUGGUAAUUAUGUUGAAUAUUGUAGUCUGCAAGAGCUAGCACAAAAUCAGCAACCUCCCAAGCAUAUUAUAUAUGGAACAACCGAACUUUUAACUGGAGUGGACUUUGUAGAGCAGCUUACAUUGCUGGGGAAGAAGAUGGGUUUGGGUAAUGUUGGUCCUACCCCAGCUCAGUAGUUAAGAUGUGAAUGUAUCUGCAAUUCAGCUUGUCAAACUAUUCUUUAGUAUACAGAAGAACACUCUCAGACAUUGUGAGGCUUGAAUAGCAUGUAAUAUGCAGACACUAAACUUUCUGAAGCCAGGAAAAAUUCAAGGCAGACUAGAAGUUUUUCAUGCUUAAAUUACAUUAAGACUGAAAGCUAGCUCUGGCAGUUGUGUUGUUUGAAGACAAUAUAUGACUCAAGUGAUGAUUGUAAUGCUCUUGUGUUAGAUUAGUGUUGGGUGUAAGUGUGAGUGGUUAAAGUUCCACAUUGUCUAAGAAUGAGUGGAAUGUUGGAUUUAUAAGAGAGAUGACCAAUUUACCUAACACUUUAAGGUUUUGGAUUGAGAUGUGGUGUCUCCCUCUCUUGUCCUUCUGGAGCAUUAGUCCGGUUGGUGCUCCCGAUUCUCCCGAACUCUACUACAGUGGUAUCAGAGUUGUGAUUCGGCUUUGUGGGGAGCGGGAGUUGGAUCCGGUGUUGGAUCCUAUUAUAGGAUGUUGAAGACUUAUACUUGUGGAGGAGAAUGUUGGAUGGAAUCUAAGAUUUAUAAGAGAGAUAAUCUAUUUACCCAACACCUUAAAGUUUUUAAGAUAUCGUGUCUUCCUCUCUUGGUAAGAGGAGAUUUUGAUAAGAGGAAGGGGAUGUGAGGGAAGAAAUUGUUUGGAUCAAAAUAUCAGCCGAAAUUUAAAUUAUAUGUUUGGUUCACAAGAUGUAUUUUAAAACUAAUUUACUUAUAAUUUUAUUAUUAUAUUUAGAAUUUAAUUGAAAUACA